rnacentral:siRNA from 1 species
AUGUCUAUGACCCUAUGAUGGACA